UAGGGAAUAUUGGGCAAUGGAGGGAACUCUGACCCAGCCAUGCCGCGUGCAGGAUGAAGGCGUUAUGCGUUGUAAACUGCUUUUUAUAUAGGAAGAAAUAGUCCUUGCGAGGAAAGUUGACGGUACUAUAUGAAUAAGCACCGGCUAACUCCGUGCCAGCAGCCGCGGUAAUACGGAGGGUGCAAGCGUUGUCCGGAUUUAUUGGGUUUAAAGGGUGCGUAGGCGGUUUAUUAAGUCAGUGGCGAAAGACGGUCGCUCAACGAUUGCAGUGCCAUUGAUACUGGUAGACUUGAGUAUGAUUGAGGUAGCUGGAAUGGAUAGUGUAGCGGUGAAAUGCAUAGAUAUUAUCCAGAACACCAAUUGCGUAGGCAAGUUACUAAGUCAUAACUGACGCUGAGGCACGAAAGUGUGGGUAUCAAACAGGAUUAGAUACCCCCGUAGUCCCUGAGCGGGCUGGCAAGGCGCAU
rnacentral:rRNA from 1 species